rnacentral:siRNA from 1 species
CUUAUGGCUACAUAGAUGA